rnacentral:rRNA from 1 species
UGGGGAAUAUUGCACAAUGGAGGAAACUCUGAUGCAGCAGCGCCGCGUGAGAGAAGAAGGUCUUCGGAUUGCAUACCAAAGACAGGGGUGAAGAUAAAGGAGGUAGCUCCGGAGGAAGCCCCAGGCCAACUAAUAAAAUUUA